CUCACUACAGAACAGAGCUACUCUGUUCAACUUAUGCUUAAGCUGGAGGAUAUUGUAAAACAAUCAGAUGCACCAUGACAGAACAAGCAGAAAGAGAGCUGGCUGGAUCCUGUAGAGCAGAUUUCAAAUCAAUAUUUGUCAAAACAUUAGAAGGUGCCGUGUCCCUCCUAUUUUACAGCUUUAUCUUAAUAUCUGAGUAAAACUCUUGACUUUUCCACACUCAGCAAAAAAUGUAACAGUGGUGAUCUUAACUGACCUGAAACAGGAAACAUUUAGAGUGAUUUAUUGUCACACAGAUGGAAAUAAUAGUUUUUAAAGUCUUUGUAAACAGUGAUGGUCACUUCAUAGUACCAGUGUCCCUGACAGUGGUGGGCUGUCAGGGCCAGCAUGGCCUUCUCUGCUAGCCCUAGAAAAUUGAAAAGAAAAACUGUAAAAUGUUUUAAUCAUACUUAAUUUUAUCUAUAAUUUAAUUUUUAUUCUGCAAAACUAGCUGCUUAUUAGUAUUAUUGAGGUUUCACUUUAAUUUCCUACUUUAAAAAGUGCCUUAAACGCAUCUGGCGAGCAGCUCCGCCUCAGGACCUGCUGUACUAAUCCAGCUAUUCUUUGGUCAGAAACGCAGAGCAACAGGCCACAGUUGGUAUGACAGACAGAAUGAUCAGCCAAUCAGAGCUGACAUCCAGUGACUGUCCGCCCGGCUGUACGUUUUUUUUGCUUUUGUUUUUUUUUUAUUAUCAUCAUACACAACAAACUUGGUAUCGGCAUCAGAUGAACACAAACCUGAAAAACUUGAAGAAGCCGAACCAGGUUGCUUCCAUACUUACAGAGAGGAUGAAAAAAAAAAAACCCAUCAGGGGUUUUCCAUCAGUUUCAAAUAGUUUAUCAUAUUAUCCAGAUCUGCAUCUUGUUCUCUGUCCAUGAAUUUUAGAGAUAAGAAAAGGAGGCAGAAUUCCUUGUGAAAAGUGAGGAAAGAUGGUUUGGCUUUAAGAAAACCACAUUUGUGAAUGAAAAACUUGCCCAAGAUAAUUAUUACAUUUCAAAUUUCUUUUCUUUUCUUAGAGUCCCAAAAAUAAUGUUUCUUAGAAAAUUCAGGUAAGUUUGGAGUUUUAGGGAAAAGCCAGUAUGAACAUUAUAACAGAAAACUUUGCAAUAAACACAUUCAUAGAAAAGAUGUUCAGUCGACUCAAUAUCACAAAAUAAACAAGUUUUAUCAUCAAUAGCAAAUCAAAGUCUAAGGAAUUCCUUAGAGGGAAAAACACCUGAAAAGAUUUUAAAGUGGACUUCCUGUCGGGAUCUGUUCCUUAUUUGUGUUUAUUUUGAGUUUCUCCGUGUUGUCCUGUCUCCCCUUGAUUGUUUCCAGGUGUUUCUUGUCUCCUUGAUUACCCUCUGUGUAUUUAACCCCACCUGUGUUCUUUGUUCCUCGUUGUGUCUGUCUAGUUUCCAGUUGUCACCUGUUGUGAUCAUUGCUCUCCGCUUCUCUGUGUUCUGGACUUUUGGAUUUUGGAUUUGCAUCUAUUAAAUCGUCUACUUUAUCGCUACCUGGGUUUGCUGCCUCUGCCUCACCAUCACUCACGCCACAAAACCUGACACUUCCUUGGGUUUUGGAGGAAGAGGAAGAUUUAAGUAAUUUGUUCUAAUUUUAACUAUUUGAACCUUUGAAAAGAAAUUCGAUAUAAAAUUUGGAUUUGAUACAAAAGUAAACAAAGUCCUAGUAAAGCAUUCCCUAAUUUCAGAGUUUUUUAGUUUAUUGUCUGUGAUACUGUGUCCAUUAAUCAGAAGUCCAGGUAGAUCAGGGGUUCUGUAAUCUCGGUUCUCAUAAAAACAUUUAGCUCUAAUAAUUUUUUGAAAUUCACUUUUAUUAAUUUGCAGGUUAUAUUUAACACUGAAUCCCUCCAUUAUUUAAUAAAUGCAUUACAGACCAAACACCUUGUUCUAGCCAAUUAUGUGCAAAGAUUGAUUUAUUAUUAAUUUUUAUGUAACAGCAGUUCCUUAGGGAGUAUUGUGUGGGCUAUAAUUAUGUUUAUAGAUUAAUCUCCAGUAUAAUAAAACUUGCUGGUGAAAGAAUGAAAGUUUAACAGGCAGUUUUUUAACGUCAAAGUCACAACUAAGAAGAAAAUUAACUCCACGCAGAUUUGAAAAUAUUUUACUUGGAAUAUGGAGCCAUAAUUCAUUUUGAUUUGUUAGAAAUGACCGAAGCCAGUUUAUUUUUAAAGUUCAUGCUGUCAAAUUCAAUAUCUUGCAGUUCUUCAUCUUUAAACUGUUUGAUUAAAUUACUUUUUCUGAUGUAGUGAGUUUUCUGUUUCCAUAUAAAGUCUAAAUUCAUCCUGUUGAUAGAUUUGAUUGCUGAAUUAUUGUUUAUUCCUAAUGUAUAUGCAGCGUAGAUAAGUCUGGAAAUACUUUCCAUUUUGGUGAGAAAUAUUCUUCCCAUAGAUAAAUCUCUGUGUGUCCAUUUAUUUAAAUGAGUUUCACAUUUUUAAAGUUUCUCCCAAAUAUUCAGAUUUUCUAACUCAGAUUUAUUUUUAUUUAUAUUCACACCCAAAUAUUGACAUUGGAUUUUACAGGAAUAUUAAAAGCAGUGGAUAUAGGACAGUCUGUUAGAGGCAAAAUUUCACAUUUGUUUAAAUUUAAUUUAAGUCCUGAAGCCUUUGAGAAAGUUUCAAUCAAUUUAAGAAUUUUGGGAAUUUCAUUCAGAUUAUUUAAGUAGAUAGUUGUGUCAUCAGCUGACUAAUAGAAAACUCUUUGCCUACCACUGAUAAUUUACCAAAUAGAGCAUUUUUAAUUGAUAUGGAAAACAUUUCUGCAGCAGCAAUAAACAGCAGAGGAUAAAUGGAACAACCUGGUUUUCUACCUUUUUAAAUCUCUGAGGUUCCAUGAGGAAAACACACUGAACUGUUUGUAUCUUUGUAAAAUGUUUUAUUACAUUAAUAAAUUUAUUUCCAAACCCAAAUAGAUCUAAAGCUUUGAACAUAAAUUCAAAGGCUUUAUAAAAGUCUAAAAAUAAUACAAAGCCUUCAUUUUCAAUUAAGUGGUUGUAGUCAAUUAAGUCCAAAAUAAGGCGGAUAUUAUUAUGUAUAGACGCCUUUUUAUAAAUCCAGACUGAGUGUCAGAAAUAAUUUGGGAUAUUCCUGAUUUUAACCUGUUAGCAAAAAUGUGUGUCAGAAGCUUGUAGUCAUUAUUUAAUAAUGUUAUCGGUCUUAAAUUAUCAAGAAGAGUUGGAUCUUUUCCAGGUUUAGGAAUGAGCCUGAUGACACCUUGUUUGGGUCAAACAGCCGUUUUCUGAUAGUUCUGUCAGCAUCCAAACACAAGGUUCUGAUCUGAACCCAAAAAUGUUUAUAAAAGUUCCUUGUUAAGCCGUCGCAGCCUGGAGCUUUGUCCUUGGAUAAAAAGCUUUACUGAGAACCGAUUGAAUUAUUAUCUUUUUGGACUGAAUCAAACUGAGACUUUUCAUUGAACUGAGUACCUGGAUUUACAUUUGGACCUGAACUUGAAUUUAAAGUGCCAUACUUUGAUUUUCAUAUGUUUAUGUCUCUGAAUGUGAUUUGAGUAAUUGUGGUCCACUUUGAUUUAAUUGUGUUUGAAGGUAUUUCCCUACCUGUAAAAGAAAGGAAAAUGAGUUAACUCAGGAGAAAAAUAGAAAUCUUAAAAUAGGUGCAACGUAGGAAAAAGAGACCGGUCUAAUUAACCUAGGUGAACUAAAGAGCAAAAAGAAAGAGUGAUAUACUUUUUUCCCCCUUUUCCUCCCCAUUUAUAUUUACCUCAUUAUUAAGAAUCUGCAGGGUAUUUUUGGUUUCAUGUGCUGUAUUUUAUAUGUGUGUUUUGCGUUCAGUAAAUUGCCGGCCUUUUUCACUUAAAGCAGCGGUCUCUGGUGUUAUUAUUCUGGCUCCCCACUCCUUCGAGCCUGGAACUGGUCCAGUGGCGCAGUUAGUGGUGUGAUACCGGUGCUACA